CGAUCGUGGUUGGAAUUGGUAGGCGCGCAGGUCUUCGGUGCCAGUGGGUAACACCGUGGAGGUUCGAGUCCUCUCGAUCGCA
rnacentral:tRNA from 1 species